rnacentral:lncRNA from 1 species
UGUUAGGCAGCAACCAUUUGAUUUUCUGGGGGGGGCUAUGGUUUUUUUUUCUGUACAAACUUUUUUUUUCGCCUUCGGCGAAGAACAAUCUUUUUUUUUAGCGACAAACCGAAAACAAGUUUUUUCUUUCAAUUUUAGCAUUACAUAUAGUGGCAGCUGAGGGUGAAACAAACAAUUUUUUUUUCUCAGGGUCCAAAACAAAUUAUUUUUUUCAUCAAAAACUGGAAACAAACUUUUUUUUCCAAAAAAAACCAUAGCCCCCCCCAGAAAAUCAAAUGGUUGCUGCCUUACAUUU